rnacentral:pre_miRNA from 1 species
AUCCUGGUCACCUGGGGUCUUGUUAAGAUGCAGUUUCUGAUCUGGUAGCCUGGGGUGGGGCCAGAGAGCCUGCAUUUCUAACAAGCUCCCAGGUGAUGCUGUU